rnacentral:rRNA from 1 species
UACGUAGGGUGCAGGCGUUAAUCGGAAUUACUGGGCGUAAAGCGUGCGCAGGCGGUUUGCUAAGACAGGUGUGAAAUCCCCGGGCUUAACCUGGGAACUGCGCUUGUAACUGGCAAGCUAGAGUGUGGCAGAGGGGGGUGGAAUUCCACGUGUAGCAAUGAAAUGCGUAGAGAUGUGGAGGAACACCGAUGGCGAAGGCAGCCCCCUGGGCUAACACUGACGCUCAUGCACGAAAGCGUGGGGAGCAAACAGG